UACGUAGGGGGCAAGCGUUAUCCGGAUUUACUGGGUGUAAAGGGAGCGUAGACGGUGAUGUAAGUCAGAUGUGAAAGCCCGGGGCUCAACCCCGGGACUGCAUUUGAAACUAUGUUGCUAGAGUGCAGGGGAGGUAAGUGGAAUUCCUAGUGUAGCGGUGAAAUGCGUAGAUAUUAGGAGGAACACCAGUGGCGAAGGCGGCUUACUGGACUGAAACUGACGUUGAGGCUCGAAAGCGUGGGGAGCAAACAGG
rnacentral:rRNA from 1 species